GCACAGAAUUUUUUUUUUAUCGACGAUCAAUUAAUUCAGGUCAAGACAAUCGUCCUGGUCACGUGAGAUGUUUCCCCAGUCGAGCCCGCAAAGCUAGCAAAAAUGAGUAAAAAUUUAUUUUGAAAAAUAUU